AUUAUGAAGUUUUGGUGGGGAAUAACUUAAAAAGAUAAUUUAGAGAUAAUUUGUGGUGAAAUUGGAAUAGAAACAAAAAAUUUAAAAUUUUCUGUAAGAAGCGGGGCUAAUCUUUUAGUAGAAAAUUCACAGUGUCAGAAAGUUAUGAAAAUUUGAGAAUAUGUCGGAAUUAUUUUUUUGAGGCUAGAUUUAAAGUUUCACGUCAUUCUGACACCCGAAAAGUAAAAAAUAAAAUCUGACUGCUAUUUGCUAGAGAUUUUAGUCGGUAGAGCUUUCGGUGAUAAAAAAUGGUCCAAACUGAAAAGUUAAGAUAUCGUUCUUCUUAUUAAUUUAAACUGAGCCUGACUGUCAAAUUUGAGCGCAAACGAAUAUUCAGAAGGGCUCCGGCGAAAAGUAUCAGAUUCUGAACUGCUUGAAAAUUGUAAUAGUGU
rnacentral:lncRNA from 1 species